rnacentral:rRNA from 1 species
UACGGGGGGGGCAAGCGUUGUUCGGAAUUACUGGGCGUAAAGGGCUCGUAGGCGGCUUAGUAAGUCGGGUGUGAAACCUCCAGGCUCAACCUGGAGACGCCACCCGAUACUGCUGUGGCUAGAGUCCGGUAGGGGAGCGUGGAAUUCCUGGUGUAGCGGUGAAAUGCGCAGAUAUCAGGAGGAACACCGAUGUCGAAGGCAGGUCUCUGGGCCACUACUGACGCUGAGAAGCGAAAGCGUGGGGAGCGAACAGG